UAGAGGCUGAUGGCUUUCAGUACAUCCAAAGCUCAACUCCUCAACUCCUAGACCUGGGCUUGAAGUCACGUAAAACCCCUACAGAGGUCAGCAAGUUUUAACAAAGUUCCUCUAGCAAAAGCAGUGAUGAAAGCAUCUCAGAGGCUCUUGCUGCAGCUGGGAGCACGCAGUACCUGAAAUUCCAGCCAUUUUCUCAGGGAUGUUGUUGCAACCAUGGAGAGAAAUUGGUGCAGGCUAUGCAUAAUUUCCAGAGAGGGCAAUUUCAGACUAAUCAAAGAAGAGUCCUUCCUGGAAAUUCCAUAUGCUUCAGGACUCUGCUUUCCUGAAGGUUAGAAGACUCCUUGCUAAUACAAAGAGAUGAAGGUGGAGAACCUACCCAAGAACGCUGAGCUAAAGACCCAUCUUCUGCAAUCAUGUGGUACUCCAGUGUACUCAUGUUGAAACUACAACAGAUACAAAAAGCAAAAUAACACUACUUUACAGAGCAAAUUCUCAGCUACAAAAAACUCUUUUUCAACAUAGUCACCUAGCUGUGCAUUUGCACCAGCAGUAAUUCAGCAAGAGCCUGAGUGCUGUGCUUAUAAAAAUCUGCACCAGUGGAGGUGACCCACUGUUUCACAGUUGCUGUGAUGGUGGUGUUGCUAGGAAAAUGCUGCCCAUGCAGUCCAUCUUUCAUCAGCCUGAACAGAUGGAAGUCAGAAGAUGCCAAGUCCAGACUAUACAGUGGAUGUGGUUGGACAGUCCAGAGAAGACUGGCAAUGUGCUCCAUGAUCUUCAAACAGCAGGAUCACAGAAGCACUUCCUCAUGUAUCUCCCAGAGGAAACCCAGAGGGCAGAAUUUGAGCCAUAAGAUCUCUAAAAUAAGGAACGUUACUUUCCUUCUUGCUGGAGCAGAGGAUAUUACCUAUGAAAGGAGGUCUGGAAGUGACCUCAGGGGCUGGUGGUGGCCAGGACCGAAUUGGAGCCACAUCACACCCAUUGCUGAGGACAGCCAGUGGAGCUGGAAUUCUUC